AGCAGCCGCGGUAAUUCCAGCUCCAAUAGCGUAUAUUAAAGUUGUUGCAGUUAAAAGGCUCGUAGUUGAAUUUCGGGAUUAGUGCGCUGGUCAUGCCUUUGGUAUGUACUGGUGUUACUGAUUUCUACCUUCUGAAGAACCGUUAUGUCAUUUAUUUGGUGUGGCGGGGAAUCAGGACUGUUACUUUGAAAAAAUUAGAGUGUUUAAAGCAGGCUCGCGCUUGAAUACAUUAGCAUGGAAUAAUGAAAUAGGACGUUUGACCCUAUUUUGUUGGUUUCUAGGAUCGACGUAAUGAUUAAUAGGGAUAGUUGGGGGCAUUAGUAUUCAAUUGUCAGAGGUGAAAUUCUUGGAUUUAUUGAAGACUAACUACUGCGAAAGCAUUUGCCAAGGAUGUUUUCAUUAAUCAAGAACGAAAGUUAGGGGAUCGAAGACGAUCAGAUACCGUCGUAGUCUUAACCAUAAACUAUGCCGACUAGGGAUCGGAUGAUGUUAAUUUUUAAUGACUCAUUCGGCGCCUUAC
rnacentral:rRNA from 1 species